rnacentral:rRNA from 6 species
CCGUUGGUGAACCAGCGGAGGGAUCAUU